rnacentral:rRNA from 1 species
ACGUAGGGGGCAAGCGUUAUCCGGAUUUACUGGGUGUAAAGGGAGUGUAGACGGCACGGCAAGCCAGAUGUGAAAGCCCGGGGCUCAACCCCGGGACUGCAUUUGGAACUGCUGAGCUAGAGUGUCGGAGAGGCAAGUGGAAUUCCUAGUGUAGCGGUGAAAUGCGUAGAUAUUAGGAGGAACACCAGUGGCGAAGGCGGCUUGCUGGACGAUGACUGACGUUGAGGCUCGAAAGCGUGGGGAGCAAACAG